AUUGAACGCUGGCGGCAGGCUUAACACAUGCAAGUCGAGCGGAGAUGAGGUGCUUGCACCUUAUCUUAGCGGCGGACGGGUGAGUAAUGCUUAGGAAUCUGCCUAUUAGUGGGGGACAACAUUCCGAAAGGAAUGCUAAUACCGCAUACGUCCUACGGGAGAAAGCAGUGGAUCUUCGGACCUUGCGCCAAUAGAUGAGCCUAAGUCGGAUUAGCUAGUUGGUGGGGUAAAGGCCUACCAAGGCGACGAUCUGUAGCGGGUCUGAGAGGAUGAGCCGCCAAACUGGGACUGAGACACGGCCCAGACUCCUACGGGAGGCAGCAGUGGGGAAUAUUGGACAAUGGGGGGAACGCUGAUCCAGCCAUGCCGCGUGUGUGAAGAAGGCCUUAUGGUUGUAAAGCACUUUAAGCGAGGAGGAGGCUACUGAGACUAAUAAUCUUGGAUAGUGGACGUUACUCGCAGAAUAAGCACCGGCUAACUCUGUGCCAGCCGCCGCCGUAA
rnacentral:rRNA from 1 species